UACGUAGGGGCCGAGCGUUGUCCGGAGUUAUUGGGCGUAAAGCGCGCGCAGGCGGCUUGGCGCGCCCGACGUGAAAGCCCCCGGCUUAACCGGGGAGGGUCGUCGGGUACGGCCAGGCUUGAGGGCGGGAGAGGGUGGUGGAAUUCCCGGUGUAGUGGUGAAAUGCGUAGAGAUCGGGAGGAACACCUGUGGCGAAGGCGGCCACCUGGGCCGACCCUGACGCUGAGGCGCGAAGGCGUGGGGAGCGAACAGG
rnacentral:rRNA from 1 species